rnacentral:rRNA from 1 species
UGGGGAAUUUUGGACAAUGGGCGAAAGCCUGAUCCAGCAAUGCCGCGUGUGUGAAGAAGGCCUUCGGGUUGUAAAGCACUUUUGUCCGGAAAGAAAUCCUUGGCUCUAAUACAGUCGGGGGAUGACGGUACCGGAAGAAUAAGCACCAGCUAACUACGUGCCAGCAGCCGCGGUAAUACGUAGGGUGCAAGCGUUAAUCGGAAUUACUGGGCGUAAAGCGUGCGCAGGCGGUUUGCUAAGACCGAUGUGAAAUCCCCGGGCUCAACCUGGGAACUGCAUUGGUGACUGGCAGGCUAGAGUAUGGCAGAGGGGGGUAGAAUUCCACGUGUAGCAGUGAAAUGCGUAGAGAUGUGGAGGAAUACCGAUGGCGAAGGCAGCCCCCUGGGCCAAUACUGACGCUCAUGCACGAAAGCGUGGGGAGCAAACAGGAUUAGAUACCCUGGUAGUCCACGCCCUAAACGAUGUCAACUAGUUGUUGGGGAUUCAUUUCCUUAGUAACGUAGCUAACGCGUGAAGUUGACCGCCUGGGGAGUACGGUCGCAAGAUUAAAACUC